rfam:Schistosoma mattheei strain Denwood, Zambia genome assembly, scaffold: SMTD_scaffold0000127
GCACUGCUGAAGAGUCUCACAAUACGACGAAACUGCCGUCCAGUGC